AGUUAAUUUUAAGAUAAUAAUGGAGAAAUAUUUAUUUAUUGUAAAUAAAAUUAUAAAAAUAAUAUAGGGUUGAAUUAAUUUAAAAUAAAUUAAUUAAUAAUAAUUAUAGUGUGAAGGUACUGUAAAGGAAAUAAAUUUAAAUAAAAUAAAGUAAUUUUAAUUUAUUGUACCUUUGGUAUCAGGGGUUAUUAAAAUAAGAUUUUUAAAUUUAUAAGAUUUCUCGAAGUUAAAAGAGCGAAUAGAAUAUUAUAGUUAAUGUAGAAUAAUUAUUAUAAAUAUUUUAUUAGUGAAUAUAUUUUAGUCAAUUUUAAGGAUAUCUAGUUUUUUCUGUAAAAAUUUAAUUUAAUUUUAAUUUUUAAUAUUGUUUAAAUAUAAAUAAUAAUAUUAUAGAGUUAAUAAUAAAAAUUAUGGGAUAAUCUAUAAUUUUUUUUAAAAUUAUUUAAUGGAAGGGAUUAAUUAUUUUAUAAAAAUAUUCAUAAUAUUUGAAUUUUUUAAUAAAAAUUUAAUAAUUUAUAAAAUUUUUUAAUUAGAUAAAUUUUAAUUUAUUGAUUUAUAAUUAAAAAUUUAAUAUUUUAAGAAAAUAUUUAUUAUAAUAAUAAUAAUAAAAAAUUAAUGAUAAUAUUAGUAAAAUAAAAAAAAUUUUAAGAUAUAUUUUUGAUGGUAAAAAUUAAUUUUAGUAAUUAGGCAAAAAUGUAAGUUCACCUGUUUAAUAAAAACAUGGUUUUUUGAUUAUAAUUUAAGAUUGUUUCUGCCCAUUGAAUUAAUAUUUGAAUGGCUGCAGUAUAUUAACUGUACAAAGGUAGCAUAAUAAAUAGUUUUUUAAAUGAAAACUGGGAUGAAUGAAGUGAUGAAAUUUACACUGUCUUAAAUUAAAAUUAUUGAAUUUAAUAAUUAAGUAAAAAUGCUUAGAUGUAAAUAUGGGACGAGAAGACCCUAUAGAAUUUUAUAUAAAUUUAAUUAUUAAAUUGGUAAUAAAAAUUUAUUAAGUUUAUAUUUUAUUGGGAGGAUCGUUAAAUUAAUAAAACUUUAAUAAUUGAGUAACCAUUAAUUUAUGAUUUUUUAAGAGUGGUUUUUAAAUUUAAGUAGAAUUAAUUACCUUAGGGAUAACAGCGUAAUAUCUUUAGAGAGAUCUUAUUAAUAAAGGUGAUUGCGACCUCGAUGUUGAAUUAAGAUAAAAAUUAAAUGAAGGAGUUUAAUAUUUAAGUCUGUUCGACUUUUAAAAUCUUACAUGAUUUGAGUUUAGAUCGGCGUGAGCCAGAUCGGUUUCUAUCUAUAUUUAGAGUUAAAAUUAUUUGUACGAAAGGACUUUAAUUUUUAAUAAUAUUAAAAAUAUAAAAAUAUAUUACUUUGGCAGAUUAGUGUAU
rnacentral:rRNA from 1 species